AGGAAUUAGGAUGAAUAUAUUAUUAUUAACAAAACAAUUAAACAGAGACUGCCUGUUUCAUAAGAUUGAUAGUGAUGUUUGUAAACACCAGCAUUGCUUGAGUGUAAAUUAUGAAAGAGAGUGAUGAAAUAACAGACUGAGGUUUGGAGCAGCUUACCUGAACAGACCACACCAGCAUCUUGAUCAUGAUUACAGUACUUUGCAUCCUUGUUGUCUGAACGGCAGUCUUUCAGUGCAGUCUCUGAUCCACUACAUCCUACAUCAGACAUUAAAGUUGGUCCUGAUCCUGGUCCAAAGGUAGCUUCAUGUGUUGGUUUUACAGCCGUCCCACAGUCCAGCUCUCUACACACCACUUCAGCAUCAACAAUAUCCCAGUUAUCAUCACUGUUCCCCACUGACCAUUCUUAUAAACCUCCACUCGACCAGCACAGGGAUUACUGCCAUUCACCAACCUCACACUCACACUGUCUACACAUGAGAGAGAGACAAUUAGUAAACAUACCAAACAUAGUAUGUAGUAAAGUGUGACAUUACAUUUAAGUUAUUUCAGCUCAUUUAAAUAGAUUACCUCUGGACUCUGAGUAUGUACCUACCAGAGGUGAUGAGUUUCACCAUAUAACACAGAAACAUCAGCAUCAGACAGUUCUUCAUCUUCUCCUUCAGCUCGACACACACUACUUCAUCAACUCAGAACUCAGCACAAGUUUCUCCAUCUUCUCCUUCAGCUCGACACACACUACUUCAUCAACUCAGAACUCAGCACAAGUUUCUCGUCUGCUCCUCAAACACAGUGAAGAAACUGGCUCCUGUCAGCCCCCUAAAGAGAGAGAGAGACUCACAGCUGCCAAUGACACUCACUGUUACCUUAUUAGACACAACAGAGGAAAUCAUCAAACACAAUAAGUGACAAAUCAGAAAGCAGCAUUUUGAUUUUCUCCAUAUAUAUCAAUAAAGUGUGAGCGCUGAUGAGCGGGACUCCUCCUCCAGCGUGAAGUGACACUUCACUGAGGACAGACUCGUGUCAGUCAGAAGUCAGUGUGGAGAUAAAGUCACACUAAACUUAAAGCAGAUUGAUACAGAAACACUGCAGAUUAGGGUGUUUUCACACAUAGUUCGUUUGAGCCCUGCAAACGCUCUCGGAGCGGUUCAGCUCGUAUAUGUGAACAAACAAUUGAUCUCAUACCCCCCUAAAAGGACCCAAAAGCGAACCGUACUCAGACCAACUCCGGA
rnacentral:lncRNA from 1 species